GACGAACGCUGGCGGCGUGCCUAAUACAUGCGAGUAGAACGCUGAAGGAGGAGCUUGCUCUUCUUGGAUGAGUUGCGAACGGGUGAGUAACGCGUAGGUAACCUGCCUGGUAGCGGGGGAUAACUAUUGGAAACGAUAGCUAAUACCGCAUAAUAGUAGAUGUUGCAUAACAUUUGCUUAAAAGGUGCAAUUGCAUCACUACCAGAUGGACCUGCGUUGUAUUAGCUAGUUGGUGAGGUAACGGCUCACCAAGGCAACGAUACAUAGCCGACCUGAGAGGGUGAUCGGCCACACUGGGACUGAGACACGGCCCAGACUCCUACGGGAGGCAGCAGUAGGGAAUCUUCGGCAAUGGACGGAAGUCUGACCGAGCAACGCCGCGUGAGUGAAGAAGGGUUUCGGAUCGUAAAGCUCUGUUGUAAGAGAAGAACGAGUGUGAGAGUGGAAAGUUCACACUGUGACGGUAUCUUACCAGAAAGGGACGGCUAACUACGUG
rnacentral:rRNA from 1 species